GGGGGCAUAGCUCAGCUGGGAGAGCAACAGACUGAAGUUUGCAUGCCUUGAGCUUAUUCUGGAGGUCCCCGGUUCAAUCCCGGGUGCCCCCA
rnacentral:tRNA from 1 species